UAUCAAUUUCCUUGUCGGCCGACGUUCGGGUGGAGGUGGAGAAAACUCCCUGGGGUAUGACAUUUUACGACUCCAAGACCAAUCAGACCAUCGCUGAGGAGGCACGGACCGAGUACCUCAAAACGGGAUUUGGAAAAUGGAAAGGACGAUAUUUACAUAUAUACGAGGGCUACCUGCUCAGGGUCGGCGAAAUGGUGGAAUGGUAUGACGUCACCAACCUCAUUAGUUACAAACUAGGCUCGACAGACAUCAUUUUCUAUAUUGGAACAACAGACAAGGAACGCAAUCGAACACUAUCGGUACAUCUUUAUGACGUCAGAGAUCGACAAUUUUCGUUUACUUUUCUCGUGAACGAUACAACAAAUUGUAACAGAAUCUCAUGGCCUUUGUUUAUUCGGGAUGAAAACGAGGGAUUCUAC